rnacentral:lncRNA from 13 species
ACACAUGAAACACAUGUAUUGAGGAACACAGGGUCGUUUUGGCCCCAUGGAAUCCUGCGUGUGGCAUUGGCCCAGCACGGGUCACCGUAAACACCGUCAGCCAGGACGAGCAUGUGUCAGGCCUGGGAGAGCCUUCUCCACAAGGCCUGGCCCCUGACCUUGAAGAGAUGGUGACCUUGUCUGGUCAGCCUGGAGAUUUGUGGGUUGUGGUGCUUCCAACAUUGGAGUCACGCACUGCUUCAGAGAGCAGAGAGGAUUUAGCCAAGGGAAGACCUUAGGCUGGAGAAAGACAGGUUGUUCCAUUUGCCAAAUUGUCAAAUAGCGUAAAUACUACUGAUUCUUCUGUAUGGAAAUAUUAUUUCCCACUUGUCCUAGGUGCCUGCAUUUAUUCUCCUCGUGUUUGAAUUUGGGCUUGAGAGGCAUUCACAGAUUAGCAUGUUUCACAACAGUUGUAUAUGGUGACCAAGAAACAUUGUAUAAUAUUACACAAGUCAUAUUAUUAUGUUCUUUUCUUUCUUUCUUUCUUUUUUGAGACAGAGUCUUGCUCUGUCAUCCAGGCUGGAGUGCAGUGGCACAGUCUCGGCUCACUGCAACCUCUGGGUUUAAGCAAUUCUCCUGCUUCAGCCUCCCGAGUAGCAGGACUUCAGCAUAAGUGUGCUGCUCUUUGAGGAAGCGCGGUGGUUGUUGGGGAUCCUGGAUCUGCUCCCGCUCCCGCUGCUCCUGCUCCUGCUCACCACUGUUCACUCUCGCCAAGGAACAAGUUGGUCAGGAAACCGCGCAGUAGCCAUGCCUUUUAGGGAUACCAGAAAAACACCUGUGGAACCAGAGGGGGCAAUUCACCGAAUCUGAAUCACUGUCACGAGCCGCAACCUAAAAUCCCCGGAGGAGGUGUGUACUGACGUGAUCAGAGAGCAAAGGAAAAGAAUCUCAGAGUGAAAGGACCUACCAAGACUUUGAGAAUCACUGCAAGAAAAACUCCUUGUGGUGAAGGUUCUAGGACACGGGAUCGUUUCCAGAUGAGAAUCUACACGCGACUCAUUGACUCGCACAGCCCUUCUGAGAUUGCUAAGCAGAUGACUUCCAUCAGCAUUGAGCCAGGAGUUGAGGUGGAAGUCACCAUUGCAGACGCUUAAGUCAGCUAUUUUAAUAAACUGAUUACCAGUUGUUAAAAAAACA